rnacentral:rRNA from 1 species
AUACGGAAGGUCCGGGCGUUAUCCGGAUUUAUUGGGUUUAAAGGGAGCGUAGGCCGGAGAUUAAGCGUGUUGUGAAAUGUAGAUGCUCAACGUCUGCACUGCAGCGCGAACUGGUUUCCUUGAGUACGCACAAAGUGGGCGGAAUUCGUGGUGUAGCGAUGAAAUGCUUAGAUAUCACGAAGAACUCCGAUUGCGAAGGCAGCUCACUGGAGCGCAACUGACGCUGAAGCUCGAAAGUGCGGGUAUCGAACAGGAUUAGAUACCCUGGUAGUCCGCACGGUAAACGAUGGAUGCCCGCUGUUGGUCUGAAUAGGUCAGCGGCCAAGCGAAAGCAUUAAGCAUCCCACCUGGGGAGUACGCCGGCAACGGUGAAACUCAAAGGAAUUGACGGGGGCCCGCACAAGCGGAGGAACAUGUGGUUUAAUUCGAUGAUACGCGAGGAACCUUACCCGGGCUUGAAUUGCAGAGGAAGGAUUUGGAGACAAUGACGCCCUUCGGGGUCUCUGUGAAGGUGCUGCAUGGUUGUCGUCAGCUCGUGCCGUGAGGUGUCGGCUUAAGUGCCAUAACGAGCGCAACCCCUCUCCUUAGUUGCCAUCAGGUCACGCUGGGCACUCUGGGGACACUGCCACCGUAAGGUGUGAGGAAGGUGGGGAUGACGUCAAAUCAGCACGGCCCUUACGUCCGGGGCUACACACGUGUUACAAUGGCAGGUACAGAGAGAUGGUGUUCUGCAAAGCGCAUCUAAUCCUUAAAGCCUGUCUCAGUUCGGACUGGGGUCUGCAACCCGACCCCACGAAGCUGGAUUCGCUAGUAAUCGCGCAUCAGCCAUGGCGCGGUGAAUACGUUCCCGGGCCUUGUACACACCGCCCGUCAAGCCAUGAAAGCCGGGGGCGCCUAAAGUCCGUGACCGUAAGGAGCGGCCUAGGGCGAAACUGGUAAUUGGGGCU